UUUACGGAGAGUUUGAUCCUGGCUCAGGACGAACGCUGGCGGCGUGCUUAACACAUGCAAGUCGAACGAUGAUGCCCAGCUUGCUGGGUGGAUUAGUGGCGAACGGGUGAGUAACACGUGAGUAACCUGCCCCUGACUCUGGGAUAAGCGUUGGAAACGACGUCUAAUACUGGAUACGAUCACUGGCCGCAUGGUCUGGUGGUGGAAAGAUUUUUUGGUUGGGGAUGGACUCGCGGCCUAUCAGCUUGUUGGUGAGGUAAUGGCUCACCAAGGCGACGACGGGUAGCCGGCCUGAGAGGGUGACCGGCCACACUGGGACUGAGACACGGCCCAGACUCCUACGGGAGGCAGCAGUGGGGAAUAUUGCACAAUGGGCGAAAGCCUGAUGCAGCAACGCCGCGUGAGGGAUGACGGCCUUCGGGUUGUAAACCUCUUUUAGUAGGGAAGAAGCGAAAGUGACGGUACCUGCAGAAAAAGCACCGGCUAACUACGUGCCAGCAGCCGCGGUAAUACGUAGGGUGCAAGCGUUGUCCGGAAUUAUUGGGCGUAAAGAGCUCGUAGGCGGUUUGUCGCGUCUGCUGUGAAAUCCCGAGGCUCAACCUCGGGCUUGCAGUGGGUACGGGCAGACUAGAGUGCGGUAGGGGAGAUUGGAAUUCCUGGUGUAGCGGUGGAAUGCGCAGAUAUCAGGAGGAACACCGAUGGCGAAGGCAGAUCUCUGGGCCGUAACUGACGCUGAGGAGCGAAAGCAUGGGGAGCGAACAGGAUUAGAUACCCUGGUAGUCCAUGCCGUAAACGUUGGGCGCUAGAUGUAGGGACCUUUCCACGGUUUCUGUGUCGUAGCUAACGCAUUAAGCGCCCCGCCUGGGGAGUACGGCCGCAAGGCUAAAACUCAAAGGAAUUGACGGGGGCCCGCACAAGCGGCGGAGCAUGCGGAUUAAUUCGAUGCAACGCGAAGAACCUUACCAAGGCUUGACAUACACCGGAAACGGCCAGAGAUGGUCGCCCCCUUGUGGUCGGUGUACAGGUGGUGCAUGGUUGUCGUCAGCUCGUGUCGUGAGAUGUUGGGUUAAGUCCCGCAACGAGCGCAACCCUCGUUCUAUGUUGCCAGCGGGUUAUGCCGGGGACUCAUAGGAGACUGCCGGGGUCAACUCGGAGGAAGGUGGGGAUGACGUCAAAUCAUCAUGCCCCUUAUGUCUUGGGCUUCACGCAUGCUACAAUGGCCGGUACAAAGGGCUGCGAUACCGUAAGGUGGAGCGAAUCCCAAAAAGCCGGUCUCAGUUCGGAUUGAGGUCUGCAACUCGACCUCAUGAAGUCGGAGUCGCUAGUAAUCGCAGAUCAGCAACGCUGCGGUGAAUACGUUCCCGGGCCUUGUACACACCGCCCGUCAAGUCAUGAAAGUCGGUAACACCCGAAGCCGGUGGCCUAACCCUUGUGGAAGGAGCCGUCGAAGGUGGGAUCGGUGAUUAGGACUAAGUCGUAACAAGGUAGCCGUACCGGAAGGUGCGGCUGGAUCACCUCCUUU
rnacentral:rRNA from 1 species